rnacentral:rRNA from 1 species
ACGAACGCUGGCGGCGUGCUUAACACAUGCAAGUCGAGCGGUAAGGCCUUUCGGGGUACACGAGCGGCGAACGGGUGAGUAACACGUGGGUGAUCUGCCCUGCACUCUGGGAUAAGCCUGGGAAACUGGGUCUAAUACUGGAUAUGACCUCAGCAUGCAUGUGCUGGGGUGGAAAGCUUUUGUGGUGCAGGAUGGGCCCGCGGCCUAUCAGCUUGUUGGUGGGGUAAUGGCCUACCAAGGCGACGACGGGUAGCCGACCUGAGAGGGUGACCGGCCACACUGGGACUGAGACACGGCCCAGACUCCUACGGGAGGCAGCAGUGGGGAAUAUUGCACAAUGGGCGGAAGCCUGAUGCAGCGACGCCGCGUGAGGGAUGAAGGCCUUCGGGUUGUAAACCUCUUUCAGCAGGGACGAAGCGUGAGUGACGGUACCUGCAGAAGAAGCACCGGCUAACUACGUGCCAGCAGCCGCGGUAAUACGUAGGGUGCGAGCGUUGUCCGGAAUUACUGGGCGUAAAGAGUUCGUAGGCGGUUUGUCGCGUCGUUUGUGAAAACCCGGGGCUCAACUUCGGGCUUGCAGGCGAUACGGGCAGACUUGAG